AUGGACAUUUUUUAAAUAUGAAAAUACUGAACAGCUUCAAAAUCACGCGCAUCUUCGAAUCCACCGAUUUUGUUUCUAGUUUGCCAACAUUUUUUAAAAUUUAUGAACAAUUUUAAUAUUUCGUGGUCUUUUUUGUAUUCAGGAUUUUUGAAAUUUCCACAUAUUUUUCCUAAUUGCAAGAACAUUUUGCGGACUCACGACCACCUUUUGAAACAUUUUUCAAAAUCAUAACCAUCCUUUUCAAAUUGGUGAAUUUUUUUCUAAAUUCAUUUUUUGUUUGAGAGCUUUCAGUAAUCAUAUCAAACUCCCUUAGAUGAUCAAAUAUACUACGUGAAGGAUAUAAAUUUUGUAGUGCUCGUAUUUUCAAAUCUAUCUACCCUCCUGCAACAUUCUUUUCGGUGCUAUUUCAUUAAUGCAUAAACGCAACCUAACCAUAGUAACACUAUGUUUGCAAACAACACUUCACGUUCUCUCGUCGACUUCACCACCUGUGGAUAGAGUUAGGAGCUUUAGACAUCAUGUCGUUUUUGAGAAGAAAUGGCUAUCAAAUGACACUGCACUCGCAUCGACAACAAGGAGGGGUGUCUGCCAACAACAACUAGGGGAUCAUGAGAGCAUGAGGCCACCUCUCCCCCAUUACCCAAGGAGGGAGCCAACCUACUAUGAGGAGUGUCACGUUGCACUAAAAUACAUCGAGUGAGUGCUAGUGAUCACUAGCACCCAAGAACAAACUUGGCCAAGAGAUCCUGAUGCUUCCAAGUCCUAGGAGGUGAACAACAUUGCAAAAAGCAACUCCAGCUCGCUGUGAAGUUCAGGUUUGAAGAAUAACUAAUGACCAUGUUCCCUCUUUCUUCUCGUGUUAAAUAGGAGCGCAAAUUCUCUCACCCUUGAAUACUAG
rnacentral:lncRNA from 1 species